rnacentral:rRNA from 1 species
CACGUAGGGCGCAAGCGUUGUCCGGAAUUAUUGGGCGUAAAGAGCGCGUAGGCGGUCCGGUAAGUCCGCUGUGAAAGUCAAGGGCUCAACCCUUGAAUGCCGGUGGAUACUGUCGGGCUAGAGUCCGGAAGAGGCGAGUGGAAUUCCUGGUGUAGCGGUGAAAUGCGCAGAUAUCAGGAGGAACACCGGUGGCGAAGGCGGAUCUCUGGGCCUUACCUGACGCUCAGGUGCGAAAGCUAGGGGAGCGAACAGG